CCCGAAUUUCCCAGAAUCCCGUGUUUCGGUUUUGAUGGGGACCCUUGUGGUGCCAGGAGCUCCCUGUGAACCUCUUGAACUUGUGGGGUGACACAAGCAGGGAACCUCGGACACCGUGGUCGGUCACGGUGGAGUCAUAGUUUGGCGAGGGCUCCUCCGUUUCUGUCGUCAGGCAGUCAUCUGACUUGUUCUCUCCUCAUCGCAAACCUGGAUGUGUUGAAACCCAGGGCGGUGCUUCCACACAAAAUAAUUUGUGCCUGGCGAAUGGAACAGAUUUUAAAAGGAAUUGCUCAUGGUGAUUUAGUGAAUUGUCAGGCCAAGUGUGGAAAAGAAAGGAAGAAGGAAGAGAGGAGGCAUCCGUUGAUGAACUUCAGAUGCCAAGAUAAAGGAGACUUGCUUUUCGACGAGAUGACACUGGCCCUGCUGGUCGGGCUUCCGGGGAGAGGAGGUCUGAACUGCUCGGUGAGUUGAGGGUCCCAGGACAGCUGGUCCUGUCGUGCGGCCAAGUCCUAAGGCACCGGACACACAGCAUCUUCCAGGAAGCAAACCUGCACUGAAUCUACUUUUUUUUUUUUUUUUGUCUUUUUGCCAUUUCUUGGGCCGCUCCCGCGGCAUAUGGAGGUUCCCAGGCUAGGGGUUGAAUCGGAGCUGUAGCUACCAGCCUUCGCCAGAGCCACAGCAAUGCAGGAUCCGAGCUGCGUCUGUGACCUACACCACAGCUCACGGCAACCCCGGAUCGUUAACCCACUGAGCAAGGGCAGGGACCAAACCCACAACCUCAUGGUUCCUAGUCGGAUUUGUUAACCACUGCGCCACGACGGGAACUCCUGACUCCACUUUCUUAGGGUCAGUCCAGAGCGGGGUCAAGACUUGCACAGGCACGGAAGUGCUGAUAACACUGAGGGGUG
rnacentral:lncRNA from 1 species